rnacentral:rRNA from 1 species
UACAGAGGUCUCAAGCGUUGUUCGGAUUCAUUGGGCGUAAAGGGUGCGUAGGCGGCCAACUAAGUCGGAUGUGAAAUCCCCAGGCUCAACCUGGGAACUGCAUCCGAUACUGGAUGGCUUGAAUUCGGGAGAGGGAUGCAGAAUUCCAGGUGUAGCGGUGAAAUGCGUAGAUAUCUGGAGGAAUACCGGUGGCGAAGGCGGCAUCCUGGACCGACAUUGACGCUGAUGAGCGAAAGCUAGGGGAGCAAACGGGG